rnacentral:lncRNA from 1 species
CUUCUUAGAAAUAGCACUGUAACAAGACUCUGGGUUUUCUGAAGAUGGCAACCCCCUGAAUGCAAAAAAUGGAUUAUCAAAAGAAGAUGAAAUUUUGAAAUUUGAAGACAGUUUUAUUCCAGGGUCUUCGUUGACUUACCCGUGGGCCAGGACAAGUGGCGCCCAACGUGGGGCCAGAGAACGGGGGAUCCAGUGAAGGACGCUGCUCAGGGGCCCUAAGAUUAAGAUUGAGGAACAAAGAGCAUACUCGACAUAGAAGAGGCUUGCGAUUGAUGUGGACCUGCCGUCUUUUUGCACCUCGGAAACAUCGUCAUCAUUUAAAGUUUG